AAAAAAGAAUACCAAACAAAAGUUCAGGUUUCAGGAGGUUAGCUUCAAUGCUACUUCCAGGGAAAACAUCACUGCGCAUGCCCCAAGCUGAUUGGCCGUUGCCCCUCUGCUAUUUGCUAAGAGAUGUCCGUAGUUGUCGGAAGUUAACGGUUCUUUUAAAGAAGAUAGUAGCCGCGGUCAACUUAUAUUGCGAGAACUUAAAUGAAUAGUGGGAAGACAUUUCAGUGUCCUCUAGCCGCGGGAUAAUGUUAUAAACCAAACCGCAGAGAGGCUGGUACCUGGACAAGAACAGUGUUUCAGGAUCUCAAGCACAUUUCUGAGAGACCUGCCAACCAUAAAAACAGCAGGACAGCUUGGUAAAAUCUGGCAGCGCAUACAAACCGGGACUCGAGCACCGUAACAGCAAACUGAGGAGAACAGACAUGGCCCAGGUGGAGACGAUAAAGUCCAUGACCCUCUCACUCAGACCUUUGGGAACCUGAUAAAGCUUCAGGAAGUCACGCACGUUGUUGAGCAUCUCGUGGUAGCGGUUUGUGUUGGUGUACAUCUGCUG